UACGGAGGGUGCAAGCGUUACUCGGAAUUACUGGGCGUAAAGCGCACGUAGGUGGUUUGUUAAGCCAGCUGUGAAAUCCCCGGGCUCAACCUGGGCACUGCAGUUGGAACUGGCAAGCUAGAGUAGGGUAGAGGGGUGUGGAAUUCCAGGUGUAGCGGUGAAAUGCGUAGAUAUCUGGAGGAACAUCAGUGGCGAAGGCGACACCCUGGACUCAUACUGACACUGAGGUGCGAAAGCGUGGGGAGCAAACAGG
rnacentral:rRNA from 1 species